rnacentral:lncRNA from 1 species
UUAAUUAAAAAUAAAUUAUGUUGAGCUAUUGGUAUUGACUUGUUGAGUUUGACUUGUGUUGUUGGGCCUUGGUCAAGGUUGAUUUGACUAUGUUGGAUUAAAAUCAUUGGAUUUAUGGGAUUGAUGAAAUGUACAUUUCAUCUCCCAAAAUGAAUGAAUGAUUUUAAUUUGAUAAAAGUCUUGCUUUGACCAAUUUGUGUUGAUU